rnacentral:rRNA from 1 species
AGAGUUUGAUCAUGGCUCAGGACGAACGCUGGCGGCGUGCUUAACACAUGCAAGUCGAGCGGCAAGGCCCUUCGGGGUACACGAGCGGCGAACGGGUGAGUAACACGUGAGUAACCUGCCCCUGACUCUGGGAUAAGCCCGGGAAACCGGGUCUAAUACCGGAUAUGACUCCUGCUCGCAUGGGUGGGGGUGGAAAGGUUGGUUUUCCUUCCGGUCGGGGAUGGGCUCGCGGCCUAUCAGCUUGUUGGUGGGGUGACGGCCUACCAAGGCGAUGACGGGUAGCCGGCCUGAGAGGGCGACCGGCCACACUGGGACUGAGACACGGCCCAGACUCCUGCGGGAGGCAGCAGUGGGGAAUAUUGCGCAAUGGGCGGAAGCCUGACGCAGCGACGCCGCGUGGGGGAUGAAGGCCUUCGGGUUGUAAACCUCUUUUACCACUCACGCAGGCCUUGGGUUUUCCUGGGGUUGACGGUAGGUGGUGAAUAAGGACUGGCUAACUACGUGCCAGCAGCCGCGGUAAUACGUAGGGUCCGAGCGUUGUCCGGAAUUAUUGGGCGUAAAGAGCUCGUAGGCGGCCUGUCGCGUCUGCUGUGAAAGUCCGGGGCUUAACUCCGGGUGUGCAGUGGAUACGGGCAGGCUUGAGGUAGGUAGGGGAGACUGGAAUUCCUGGUGUAGCGGUGAAAUGCGCAGAUAUCACGAGGAACACCGGUGGCGAAAGCGGGUCUCUGGGCCUUACCUGACGCUGAGGAGCGAAAGCGUGGGGAGCGAACAGGAUUAGAUACCCUGUAGUCCACGCCGUAAACGUUGGGCGCUGGGUGUGGGGACUUUCCACGGUUUCCGUGCCGUAGCUAACGCAUUAAGCGCCCCGCCUGGGGAGUACGGCCGCAAGGCUAAAACUCAAAUGAAUUGACGG